GAUGAACGCUGGCGGCGUGCCUAAUACAUGCAAGUCGAGCGAACAGACGAGGAGCUUGCUCCUCUGACGUUAGCGGCGGACGGGUGAGUAACACGUGGAUAACCUACCUAUAAGACUGGGAUAACUUCGGGAAACCGGAGCUAAUACCGGAUAAUAUAUUGAACCGCACGGUUCAAUAGUGAAAGACGGUUUUGCUGUCACUUAUAGAUGGAUCCGCGCCGCAUUAGCUAGUUGGUAAGGUAACGGCUUACCAAGGCGACGAUGCGUAGCCGACCUGAGAGGGUGAUCGGCCACACUGGAACUGAGACACGGUCCAGACUCCUACGGGAGGCAGCAGUAGGGAAUCUUCCGCAAUGGGCGAAAGCCUGACGGAGCAACGCCGCGUGAGUGAUGAAGGUCUUCGGAUCGUAAAACUCUGUUAUUAGGGAAGAACAAAUGUGUAAGUAACUAUGCACGUCUUGACGGUACCUAAUCAGAAAGCAACGGCUAACUACGUG
rnacentral:rRNA from 1 species